CUGAAACUGAGGCCUCAAGGCUUCAGCUAAUUUAACAGUUACUGAUCAAUAUGUGCUUGAGCGAGCCAACUGGGUCCAGUGGCAAGAUAAGCUGAGGAAGCUGGGUUAGGAACCCAAAACGUCUUGGGAAAAUCUAAGGGCAAGGAAGUUUAAAAAGAAACAGAAAUUUGAGGUCCAGAGAAAAGAUUUCAAGCUGGUGUGGACUGCAUGGAAUCAGGAGGACUACUAUCAAGAGUGUUGACUCCUAGACAUCUGAUUGGGACAACAAGAGGCACUGUGCUAAGCACUAGGGAUAUGAAAAGAGGAAAAAUACAGAACAUGCUCUCAAGAAGAUUACAGUCUAAUGGAGGAGACAGCAACAAAUAUGUUUGAAGAAGUUGUACAUAGGAUCAAUAGAAAAAGAAAAAGAAAACAUUGCCAUGUGCAGAGCAGAACAUGAGAAGAUUUAAAAUAUGAAACAAU